UUCUUUAAUUGAGGACUGGAAUGAAGGGUAGAUACUAAAAGGAAGGUUUUAUUAAAUGAAUUUGAAUUUAAUUUAAAAGUAAAAAAGCUUUUAUUAAACCUUGGGACGAGAAGACCCUAGAAGCUUAAUAAAUGAAAAAUUUAUUUGAUUGGGGCAAUCAAUUGAAAAUAUAAAUUUUUAAUUUUUUUAAAUUAGGUUUAAAGUUACUCUAGGGAUAACAGCGUUAUUUAAUUAACGAGUUCUUAUUAAUAAUUAAGUUUGCGACCUCGAUGUUGAAUUAAAA
rnacentral:rRNA from 1 species